GGUGGCAAAGCCCCGGGGGUGAAUGAGACCCGCCCGGAGUUCCUCAAGGCUCUGGAUGUUGUGGGGCUGUCCUGGUUGACACGCCUCUGCAGCAUCGCGUGGUCAUUGGGGAGAGUGCCUUUGGAUUGGCAGACCGGGGUGGUGGUCCCACUUUUUAAAAAGGGGGACUGUAGGUGUGUUCCAACUACAGAGGGAUCACACUCCUCAGCCUCCCUGGUAAGGUCUAUUCAGGGGUGAUGGAGAGGAGGGUCCGUCAGGAAGUCGAGCCUCAGAUUGAGGAGGAGCAGUGUGGUUUUCGUCCCAGCUGUCGAACAGUGGACCAGCUCUACACCCUUAGCAGGGUCCUCGAGGGUAUGUGGGAAUUCGCCCAACCAGUCUACAUGUGUUUUGUGGACUUGGAGAAGGCGUUUGACCGUGUCCCUCGGGGAGUUCUGUGGGGGGUGCUUCGUGGGUAUGGGGUACCGAACCCCCUGAUACGGGCUGUUCGGUCACUAUACCACCGAUGUCAGAGUUUGGUUCGCAUUGCCGGCAGUAAGUCGGAAUCGUUUCCAGUGGGGGUAGGACUCCGCCAAGGCUGCCCUUUGUCGCCGAUUCUGUUCAUAACCUUUAUGGACAGAAUUUCUAGGCGCAGCCGAAGCGUUGAGGGGGUCCGUUUUGGGGGCCGCAGUAUUGCA